GAGCGGAUAUAGACGAGGAUCCGAGCGGAGCGCGGCGCAGUCGGUUUUCUUCCAGCGCUGUGCGCGCGUGUAACACACCGAUAUUUCUCUCUCUCCCGCCGCGCGCGUAUAUCACGACACAGUCGCGUGUCCGUGAAUGUGAAAGCGCCGAAUGAUCACGAAAAUCGUCCUUGACGUGCGUGCGUGCCCUUUCUCCGCCUCCCCCUUUCCCUCUCUUUUAUAUUCUCUCCCCUCGCCGUCGCACUUCGACGCGCGACGUACAUCGGCGUGUUUGAGGAACGAUAAGAACCCGUGAGAGCAGAGAGCGACGGAUUCUUUGACCCAGUUGGAAUUUUAAUCGCGCGUUAAUUAGGCGCGCGCGAUUGCCGAGCGGCGCUAUUAAUUGCAGUACGGAAUCGCGACGAGGACGUCAAGGAGCAAGACGGAGGAGGCGCUCCCUCGGACAGCGGCGAUCGCUCGGUUAACGCCGUCGGCCCCUUCCGGUUAACCGAAUUUUCCGACCUGUGCCGUGGUACAGUCCCACGUGCGGACCACCAUAAAUGUUUCAUCGAAUCGCCGAGAGACUUGUCUUCGCGCCGGUGCCCCGUCGUUGGAAAAGAAAGUUGGUGCUCGUGAUUACAUGAGCGCGUCACGCGGCGGCGGAGGACCCGCGUUGUACCCGCUAUCCGUGAAAAUACAGUGAACGGCGUACUCCCUGCCGGCGACUGCAAGAUCUGCAAGGAUACCAAGGACGAGCCGAAGGACUCCGAGG